rnacentral:rRNA from 1 species
UACGUAGGGGGCAAGCGUUGUCCGGAUUUAUUGGGCGUAAAGAGCGUGUAGGCGGCUAGAUAGGUCCGUUGUGAAAACUCGAGGCUCAACCUCGAGACGUCGAUGGAAACCAUCUAGCUAGAGUCCGGAAGAGGAGAGUGGAAUUCCCGGUGUAGCGGUGAAAUGCGCAGAUAUCAGGAGGAACACCAAUAGCGAAGGCAGCUCGCUGGGACGGUACUGACGCUAAGGCGCGAAAGCGUGGGGAGCGAACAGG